rnacentral:rRNA from 1 species
UACGUAGGGCGCAAGCGUUGUCCGGAAUUAUUGGGCGUAAAGAGCUCGUAGGCGGUUUGUCGCGUCUGCUGUGAAAGCCCGGGGCUCAACCCCGGGUCUGCAGUGGGUACGGGCAGACUAGAGUGCAGUAGGGGAGACGGAAUUCCUGGUGUAGCGGUGAAUGCGCAGAUAUCAGGAGGAACACCGAUGGCGAGUGGCAGUCUGUGGCGUUACUGACGCUGAGGAGCGAAAGCAUGGGGAGCGAACAGGAUUAGAUACCCGUGUAGUCC